CAAUCUUUGCAACCAAAGAAAAAGCACAAAAAAAUCAUAUAAACAAAGUAACAAACAAGACAGGACAGAAAAGAAACUGAGGAUCAAUACCAAAAAUGAAACCAUGUUACUGAAGUGAAGACAGAAGCAAAGCUCAAGAUAGGAGAAAUGAUAGCAAUAUAUCACUAAGUCUCUUUCUGCAGCUACAGCUCUCCAACUCAGACAAAUUAAAACUAAGGGACUUGAAAGAAUUUGCUGAUUGAGUUGUGGAACCACUGUCAGUAACUUUAAACAAAUUAUGAAAGUCUGUAAAGAUGUCAAAAAAUUGGAGAGGUAGAUUUCAGAAGUUGUAGGCAGGUAAGAUUUAACCUCAAUGCUUCUAAAAAGUCAAGAAUGUAAUAUUGUAAAUGGUUUGUGUAUACUUAGAAGAGAUCUGGGAGGCAGCAAAGGCCUGUUGGAAACAACUCAUACCAAAGGAGUCUGAUUUCCAUUCUGGAUGGGGUAACUUGGUAGGUAGAAAAAGGAAUGCUCCAGAUAUUGCAUCUCAACAAGUCAUUUGACAAAGUGUCUCAUAAUACCUGAGUCAAUAGGAUGGGAAAUGAGAGCUGAAUACCAGAAUUAGGUGGAAUGAACAACAGAACCCAAACAGUGUUAAUUUAUGUUGCUCUGGAAAGAGUUAUUGAAUGUUGCGCUAUAGAGCUCUGUUCAUGAUCCUGUUCUCUUUUGCAAUUUUAUUUUUUUUUAGAUGAAGACACAGAAGGCAAGUUUAUCAUAUAUGUAAAAGGAAAAAGUUGGGAAAGGCAGUUAACAUUCUGAAUGAUUAACUCAAAAUUGUAAAAGAUGUUGAAUAUUUAUUUAGAACAAAAUAUAAUUUUACAAAAAUGCUAGAAAAAUGGUGGGAACUUUUGUAAGAGCAGAGUUAAAAAAAUAGACUAAGCAUCCCCACCCAGAAAAAAGAAGAAAAAUAAAAAUGGCAUGCAAUGGAUACGAAGAAACUUAAUAGGUGCACAUGUCAAGUUCUGUAUUUAGUUUUGAAAAUCAGAGACCUGAGACUUGAUAGCACUUCAUAGGGAAACAAUCUAGGAAUUUUACUGAUGAGAAGCAGCCUUUGAAUCAAUUAAUAAAACAAAAUGAAACAAAACAAAAAAGCUAAUGCAAUCUUAGGUGGCACUAGUAAAAGCCUAGUAUCCAGAUCUGUAAAAUCAGGGUAAUAAUAAUAAUAAUACCUUCCUCAUAAGAUUUUUGCAAGUAUUAAAUGAGAAAAUUCCUGUAAAACACUUAGGAGUGGUUUAAGUGUAUGCAUUCAAUGAAUAUGUUAUUAUUACUAAAAAGAUAUAUGAUAGUCCUGCUUUACUUGUGCAAAAUCACAUCUAGAAGAGUAUGUCCAUGUAGGGGAUAAUGAGGAGGGUAGAAGUAUCAGAACAAAUGUGAGGACUAGAGAAAACUUGGAUGGAGAAGAUAAGAUAAUGGCAGUCUUCCAAAAUAUUAAGGGCUUGUAAAGAAGAAUUAGAUUUACCCUUCAUGACUCUAAGCAUUACCAAUAGGAGAAAUAAGCAAAAUGCACAGAGACUUAUUUUAGAUCUAUAAGAACAAAUUUCCUAAUAAUCAGAGUUAUUCAAAAUUGAAAUGGACUGUUCAGGAAGUGGUGAGUUUCUUGUCACUUGUGGUGUUUGGACAAAGGCCUGGCAGGAAACUCCAUAAAGGGCAUUCUUGCAUGGGAUGUAUCUAUGCAUGAAUCCAUUUAUUAAGAUUGUUAUGAAACAAUUAGUUAACAGAAACCAGCCGUGGGUCAACAAUCUGAUAAACUCUAGUGGACAUCUAAGGUUCUUUCCAACUCAAUGACUGCAUGAUUUUGAAGAAACAGGUAUAAGCUGUUCCUGACAUGGGAUUUUUUGAUUUCAUAAUGGUGCAAAAGCAAUAUGCAUUCAGUAGAAAUGGUACGUAGAAUUUUGAAUUCUGGCCUUUUUCCAGACUAGCAACAUGAAGUAGGAUACUCCUGUGAUGCUGGGCAGUGGCAGCCAGCCACAGCUCCCAAUCAGUCACUCGAUCAUGAGAGUAAGCAACUGAUCUGUAGGCUAAUGUAAGCUUUCUUAACAUGUUUAACAUAGUCUAGGUUUGAUAGUUUAGGUGUAUUAAAUGCAUUGAUUUUCAAUAUUUUCAACUUACAAUGGGUUUACUGAGAUGUAACCUUAUUAAAAAUCAAGGAAUAACUGUAUCUUCAGCUUCUAGAGAAGAUUGCUAAGCACCAUGUAGAGGUUAUUUUUCUUAGAACUUACCUCUGCUUCUUACUCAUAAUAGCUCCUACAUUGCUUACUGCAAAAGUAAACACCUGCUAUACUAUUCCAUGCUCUGCCCUAGACACCAAUGCCUCAUGAAUCACAUCAAAUACAAGUCUUUACCAUCUGAGCAGCAUGACUUUAUUUAUUUUUUUUCCUCAACUCAUCUGCAAUGCUAGAGGGGCUGUCCACAGCUUCCAAUUCGGGCUUUGCUGCCACUGUGUGAUGCUUCAUGUUGAAGCAGCAUUUUCUUUUCAAUGUAAACAUUUUUAGAAACACUGUGAGGAGAUUUCAGUGUAACAAAUGUACCAGAAUAGCUGUGUCUAGCCUGCUGGGUGAAAUCCUUUUUUGAAAUAAUGUUGGAACAAAGAAAUUCAUUCCCUGUAAAUGGGGAGCUAGUUAGUAAAUCAUAUAAACAGUAUUCACACCCUGUGUUCCAGACGAGGUGCUCUCCCUGCUGCUGUCAGCAACAUUUGCUGCCAAGUCCACUAACUACUUUACCCUGACCUUCAGUGGAUAAACAAUAUAAUCUUCCAUGCUGCAUCUCAUUAGCAUCUGCUAGUCAAGAAAAGCAUGUCUGUUUCAUAAUUACAUCACGAAAGCAUCUUGCUGUAUUAGAACAGCAAAGCAUUUGAAUUAGAAAAUGCACUUGUCCAAGAUUUCCAAGCCAGUAUAAAAGAAUUACAAUUGCCAUCAUUUUACUUGUUAUGUAUGUCCGGUAUAGAACAUGGUCUGAUGGUAGAGUGGGAAGAGAAGGUAUAAACUGGUCACAAUCUUCCAUAUUUAUUUUAAUGUUUUACACUCAUCUUGAUUUUGUCAAAUGUAUUAUUUUUAAAAUUUCUAACUUACCCUUUAAAAAAGAACAUACAACAACAUUUUAACUAUUUUCCUUGGGAACAAAAAGUUUUCCCUUGCCCUUGUUGAAUGACAAUUUGUAAGUCUGUCCUAAUAAAUUUAUCAAACUAGUUAUACAUUCAUAUCCAUUUAGCAAUAUCUAUAAUGUCACCAUUUCUAAAAGAGGCAGCAGUGUGAAAAGGUUAUCAAUUUAUUUUUUAAAUUAUUUUUAUUUUUAAUUUUUGUGGGUACAUGGUGUAUAUAUUUAUUGGGUACAUGAGAUGUUUUGAUACAGGCAUGCAAUGUGAAAUAAUCACAUCAUGGAGAAUGAAGUAUGCAUCUUCUCAAACGUUUAUACUUUGUGUUACAAACAAUCCAAUUAUACUCUUUUGUUGUUGAAAGGGUGGUGGGGGUUAGGGGGUGGGGAUGGUUAAUGGGUACAAAAAAUAGACAUAAUUUAUAGUCAAGGUUAUCAAUUUAGAAGAACUUAAGUCAACAAAGCAGAACUUCCUAAUAUGAAAUCAAAUGAGGUGGCUUAACAUUGCCCCUUAUUCUGUCAUUUGUAUGAAGGUCUAGAUGAUGCCAUCAUUCUACUUUAGGGGAAAUAUUAGGACGAUAUAAUGGAGCUAUCUUUGAUGGGGGAGUGGAAUGACUGGCAUAAUUUUGCCUCCUGGAGUGAAUGGUAAACAAACAGAAAGGAAAAUAGCCACAGCUACUUAGAACUUCAUGGCCAAAAGGGAUGAGAAAGAUCAAUGAUUAAAAGGUUAUAAAGUUGCAUAGAACAUAAGCAGAAGCAUGUACUUUCUAUCCAUAGGAACUGUAGGAUUAGCCAAUGAGUUUUAAAAUGGUGGUGGGUGAAAUUUUUUCAAAUGGGCCUUGAUUCAAAACAUUUAAAAAAUGGGAACACUCACUUAAAAAUGGGUGAAAUACUUAAAGUAAUUCACAAAAUACAUAUAGCUAGAGUCUGGAAAAAUUCAUAUGCACUAGAACUUAGAGGUAAAAACUGAAUAAAAAAUGGGAUAUUGUUUAUCACCUAUGAACUUAAUAAAAAUGACAAAGAAUGAUAAUACUUAGUAUUGGUGAUUGUGUUGACAAAUGGGCAUUCUAAUUCACUGCUGGUGUAUACAUUUUCUGAAGAGCAAGCUGAAGGUCAAUAUACCAACAUGCUAACUGACUUUUCUGAGAGGUGAAACUGUAAGUGAUUUUACUUUACUUCUUUACAUUUCCUGCAGCCCACAAAUAAUUUUUUUUAAUUUUUAAUUUUUGUGAGUACACAAUAGGUGUGCAUAUUUAUGAGGUACAUGAGAUAUUUUGAUACAGGUAUAUAACACAUAAUAAUCAUAUCAGGGUAAAUGGGGGUAUCCAUCACCUCAAGCAAUUAUCAUGACUGUGUUACAAAUAUUCCGAUAAUAC
rnacentral:lncRNA from 1 species